GCGCGGUAAAACCAGCACCUCAAGUGGUCAGGAGGAUUAUUGGGCCUAAAGCAUCCGUAGCCGGCUCUGUAAGUUUUCGGUUAAAUCCAUGUGCUCAACGCAUGGGCUGCCGAAAAUACUGCAUAGCUAGGGAGUGGGAGAGGUAGACGGUACUCAGUAGGAAGGGGUAAAAUCCUUUGAUCUAUUGAUGACCACCUGUGGCGAAGGCGGUCUACCAGAACACGUUCGACGGUGAGGGAUGAAAGCUGGGGGAGCAAACCGGAUUAGAUACCCGGGUAGUCCCAGCUGUAAACGAUGCAGACUCGAUGAUGCAUUGGCAUAUAGCCAGUGCAGUGUCGCAGGGAAGCCGUUAAGUCUGCCGCCUGGGAAGUACGUACGCAAGUAUGAAACUUAAAGGAAUUGGCGGGGGAGCACGGUCAUACUUUGUUUCCUGA
rnacentral:rRNA from 1 species